rnacentral:rRNA from 1 species
UACGUAGGGUGCGAGCGUUAAUCGGAAUUACUGGGCGUAAAGUGUGCGCAGGCGGCCGAGCAAGUCGAGUGUGAAAGCCCCGAGCUUAACUUGGGAACUGCGCUCGAAACUACUUGGCUAGAGUGUGGCAGAGGGAGGUGGAAUUCCACGUGUAGCGGUGAGAUGCGUAGAGAUGUGGAGGAACACCGAUGGCGAAGGCAGCCUCCUGGGCCAACACUGACGCUCAUGCACGAAAGCGUGGGGAGCAAACAGG